rnacentral:rRNA from 1 species
UGGGGAAUCUUGCGCAAUGGACGAAAGUCUGACGCAGCCACGCCGCGUGAGUGAAGAAGGCCUUCGGGUUGUAAAGCUCUGUCGGAGGGGACGAAAAUGCUUUCGGUUAACAGCCGAAGGUACUGACGGUACCCUCAAAGGAAGCACCGGCUAACUCCGUGCCAGCAGCCGCGGUAAUACGGAGGGUGCAAGCGUUGCUCGGAAUUAUUGGGCGUAAAGGGUAGGUAGGUGGUCUCAUUUGUCUGGGGUGAAAGCCUUGGGCUUAACUCAAGAAGUGCCCCAGAAACGGUGAGACUGGAGUCCUGGAGAGGGUCGUGGAAUUCCCGGUGUAGCGGUGAAAUGCGUAGAGAUCGGGAGGAACACCAGAGGCGAAGGCGGCGACCUGGACAGGUACUGACACUCAACUACGAAAGCGUGGGGAGCAAACAGGAUUAGAUACCCCUGUAGUCC